rnacentral:tRNA from 1 species
UUUUACUUAAUUUAUAUUAAAAUAAUUUCUUGUCAUGAAAUAAAUAACAGCAAUGUGUUAGUGUAGA